CUCUGCCGGCCCGCCGCUGAAGCCGCCACUGCCGACGGCCCUAUCCGCGGCGCCUCCUGCCCCACCGCGAGCGUCCUCAGCGGGCCCGCCGUCCUCAGCGCGCAGGCGGGCCGCCCCUCCGAUAUUAUGCGUCUCCGCUCGACCAUCGGCUCACGUUCACCUCUUGCUGCCCUGGGACACGGAGAUGCGCUGGCCGCAGACGCCAACUUCUUGAUGCCCUGUCUCUCUGCGCCCUCCAGUUCCUCGAUGAGGGAAAAUUCCAAGUCGCGGGUCUCUCCACUGAUGAGUUUUUUUUUUUCCCAUUUUGCAAUAAGUUUUUUUGUUCCCUGUGUGCCAUGUCUCUCUGCGCCCUCCAGUUCCUCGAUGAGGGAAAAUUCCAAGUCGCGGGUCUUUCCACUGAUGAGUUUUUUUUUUCCCAUUUUGCAAUAAGUUUUUUUGUUCCCUGUGUGCCAUUGGUCCGCUGUGUGGUCUGGAUUGCAGGGAAGGAGAGCGCGGCCAGGAAUCUAGGUGAUAAGGAGUGAUGAGAAAUUACGUCAAGCACCUAUGGUGGCUGGUGUGGUGCCUCAUGCAAGCUGCUUUUUCAUCACGUUGAAGAUCAGAUCGAUCCGGCUCAAGUGGUGCCUCAGUCUACAAGUGAAUUUUUUUUUGGAUGGUAAUAAUGGCAUUCUUCUAGAUCAGUUAAUGUAAAUGAAAUAUGUAUGAGUUGUUCAAAAAGAUAAGCAGUGAAGUGGUUGAUGAUGGCUUGAUUAAUAAGGUGCUCCAGUUCUUCAUGAGGAGAUGAUUCAUUUUAGGGUGCUUAAUGUUUCUUAGUUGAAGAUCGAAUAGACCGGGAGUUUACUUAGUUAUUUAUUACUGAUUUGUUAGUUCUCAAAUUUCUUUAAUAACAAAUUCCUUCCUACUUGUGUUUUUUUGUUGGGCCUAUCUUGCCAAUCAGAUGUAAAAAUUAUAUAUUAGUAUAUUAAACUUGAAACUUUAAGUUGCAAGUGCCCA